rnacentral:rRNA from 1 species
CCGUGAGGCGGUCUAGCACAUGCAAGUCGAACGGUAACAGGAAGCAGCUUGCUGCUUUGCUGACGAGUGGCGGACGGGUGAGUAAUGUCUGGGAAACUGCCUGAUGGAGGGGGAUAACUACUGGAAACGGUAGCUAAUACCGCAUAACGUCGCAAGACCAAAGAGGGGGACCUUCGGGCCUCUUGCCAUCGGAUGUGCCCAGAUGGGAUUAGCUAGUAGGUGGGGUAACGGCUCACCUAGGCGACGAUCCCUAGCUGGUCUGAGAGGAUGACCAGCCACACUGGAACUGAGACACGGUCCAGACUCCUACGGGAGGCAGCAGUGGGGAAUAUUGCACAAUGGGCGCAAGCCUGAUGCAGCCAUGCCGCGUGUAUGAAGAAGGCCUUCGGGUUGUAAAGUACUUUCAGCGGGGAGGAAGGCGACAAGGUUAAUAACCUUGUCGAUUGACGUUACCCGCAGAAGAAGCACCGGCUAACUCCGUGCCAGCACCCGCGGUAAA